UGGGGAAUUUUGGACAAUGGGGGCAACCCUGAUCUAGUAAUGCCGCGUGUGUGAAGAAGGCCUUCGGGUUGUAAAGCACUUUUGUCCGGAAAGAAAACGCCGUGGUUAAUACCCGUGGCGGAUGACGGUACCGGAAGAAUAAGCACCGGCUAACUACGUGCCAGCAGCCGCGGUAAUACGUAGGGUGCAAGCGUUAAUCGGAAUUACUGGGCGUAAAGCGUGCGCAGGCGGUCCGCUAAGACAGAUGUGAAAUCCCCGGGCUUAACCUGGGAACUGCAGUUGUGACGGGCGGGCUAGAGUAUGGCAGAGGGGGGUAGAAUUCCACGUGUAGCAGUGAAAUGCGUAGAGAUGUGGAGGAAUACCGAUGGCGAAGGCAGCCCCCUGGGCCAAUACUGACGCUCAUGCACGAAAGCGUGG
rnacentral:rRNA from 1 species